rnacentral:tRNA from 1 species
UUAUUUUGGCAGAUUAGUGCAGUAAAUUUAGAAUUUAAAAAUGUAAUUUAUUUUACAAAUAAUAC